UAGGAGACACAAAUUGGAUAUUCAUUUUUUUACCCUUGCCUAAUGUGACCUCAACAAUGUUCACAACAACUGAAAAUUCCUUGCUCUUUAAACACUUGUCACAUUUUUUCCUUAUCACACACGCUUCUCAGUAUUCCCUUAUCUCCUCCUCCUUGGCCUCCUCCGUUUCUCCCUCUGCUCCUCUCCAGACACUGGAGAGUCCGACGCUUGCUCAGAUGAAAUAGAACGUCUUUGCCAUUGAAUGUCAAGUUGUGAUCUCCAGUCCCUUCACCUCUCCUGAGCUGCAGACACAUAGUGACUCUGUACUUCCACUUGGACAUCCUAAGAAAUCUCCACAUCAACCUAACAUACAAAAUUGAACUUCUGCUCCCCAGCUGCAGCAGAUUUGUUUUCUUUCCAUUGUUAACAUCCCAGCAAAUGGUGCCACCAUCCAUCUAACAGCUGAAGUAAAAAACCUUGUUUCUCUAUGACUCACAUUUUGUCGAAUAAGCUCAUCUACAGCAAAGGAAACAGUUAACAAAACCAAAAGACAACUGACAGAAUGGGAGAAGAUAUUUGCAAACGACAUUAUCAGAUAAAGGGCUAGUGUCCAAAAUCUAUAAAGAACUUAGCAAACUCAACACCCAAAGAACAAAUAAUCCAAUCAAGAAAUGGGCAGAGGACAUGAACAGACAUUUCUACAAAGAAGACAUCCAGAUGGCCAACAGACACCUGAAAAAGUAUUCCACAUCACUCAGCAUCAGAGAAAUACAAAUCAAAACCAUAAUGAGAUACCACCUCAUACCAGUCAGAAUGGCUAAAGUUAACCAGUCAGAAAAUGACAGAUGCUGGCGAGGAUGCAGAGAAAGGGGAACCCUCCUACACUGUUGGUGGGAAUGUAAGCUGGUGCAACCACUCUGGAAAACAGCAUGGAGGUUCCUCAAAAAGUUGAAAAUAGAACUACCCUAUGACCCAGCAAUUGCACUACUGGGUAUUUACCCUAAAGAUACAAAUGUAAUGAUCCAAAGGGGCACGUGUGCCCAACUGUUUAUAGCAGAAAUGUCUACAAUAGCCAAACUAUGGACAGAACCUAGAUGUCCAUGAACAUAUGAAUGGAUAAAGAAGACGUGGUAUAUAUACACAAUGGAAUACUAUGCAGCCAUCAAAAGAAAUGAAAUCUUGCCAUUUGCGAUGACAUGGAUGGAACUAGAGGGUAUCAUGCUUAGUGAAAUAAGUCAAUUGGAGAAAGACAACUAUCAUAUGAUCUCCCUAAUAUGAGGAAGUGGAGAUGCAACUUGGGGGGGGGGGGUUGGGAGGUAGGAAAAGAAUAAAUGAAACAAGAUGGGAUCGAGAGGGAGACCAACCAUAAGUGACUCUUAAUCUCACAAAACAAACUGAGGGUUGCUGGGGGGAGAAGGGGAGGGAGAGGGGGGUAGGGUUAUGGACAUUGGGGAGAGUAUGUGCUAUGGUGAGUGCUGUGAAGUGUGUAAACCUGGUGAUUCACAGACCUGUACCCCUGGGGAUAAAAAUACAUUAUAUGGUUAUAAAAUUUUUAAAAAAAAAUUAAAAAAAAAAGAAAAAGCUCAUAUAUGUGCAUACACAAAAAUUAUUGUGGUUUUGAUAGGAAUUGAAUAUAACCUAUAUGUCAAUUUAGGGAGAUACAGUGUAUUUACAUGAACACAGUAUGCUUGCCCUAUUUAGUUCUUCCUUGAAUUCUUCCAUCAGCAUUUUGCAAUUAUCAGCUUAUAAGGCUUGUACAGGUCUAGUUAAGUUGCAUUUUCUUUGGAAUGAAUAUAAUGAUUUUUUUUUCUUUUUUUCUUUUCUAUGUACUUAGUGUACAGAAAUAAAAUUGAUUUUUUGUGUGUGGUGGUCUUAUAUCCUGCAACCUUGCUGAACUCAUUUAUUCUUGGAGUUUUGUUGGAAGAUUCCUUGGGAUUUUUCUAUGUUCAUGUCAUAGAUGUUCAUGUCAUCUAUAAAUGGGGAUAGUUGUAUAAUUUCCUUUUUGAUCUAAGUGCUCAUUAUUUAUUUUUCUUGCAUUAUGGCAGUGGCUGGCACUUCCAAGUUAAUGUUAAAUAAGAAUGGUGAAAACAGACAUUCUUGUCAUGUUCCCAAUCUUAGGGGAAAAUAGUCUUUCCAUAUUAAGUAUGAUGAUAACUGCAUUUUUUUCCAGAUGAUUUAUUGCCAGUUGAGGCAUUCCUCUCCAUUCCUAGCUUGCUGAGAGUUUUUAUCAUGAAUGAGUGCUGAACUAUACCUUUUUAUAUAUCAAUGCUUUUUUUAUGUCAAUUCAUGUGAUUAAAUGACUUUUAUUAUUUC